GGAUAACAUUUAGAACCGCAUGGUUCUAAAGUGAAAGAUGGUUUUGCUAUCACUUAUAGAUGGACCCGCGCCGUAUAGCUAGUUGGUAAGGUAACGGCUUACCAAGGCGACGAUACGUAGCCGACCUGAGAGGGUGAUCGGCCACACUGGAACUGAGACACGGUCCAGACUCCUACGGGAGGCAGCAGUAGGGAAUCUUCCGCAAUGGGCGAAAGCCUGACGGAGCAACGCCGCGUGAGUGAUGAAGGGUUUCGGCUCGUAAAACUCUGUUAUUAGGGAAGAACAAAUGUGUAAGUAACUGUGCACAUCUUGACGGUACCUAAUCAGAAAGCCACGGCUAACUACGUGCCAGCAGCCGCGGUAAUACGUAGGUGGCAAGCGUUAUCCGGAAUUAUUGGGCGUAAAGCGCGCGUAGGCGGUUUCUUAAGUCUGAUGUGAAAGCCCACGGCUCAACCGUGGAGGGUCAUUGGAAACUGGGAAACUUGAGUGCAGAAGAGGAAAGUGGAAUUCCAUGUGUAGCGGUGAAAUGCGCAGAGAUAUGGAGGAACACCAGUGGCGAAGGCGACUUUCUGGUCUGUAACUGACGCUGAUGUGCGAAAGCGUGGGGAUCAAACAGGAUUAGAUACCCUGGUAGUCCACGCCGUAAACGAUGAGUGCUAAGUGUUAGGGGGUUUCCGCCCCUUAGUGCUGCAGCUAACGCAUUAAGCACUCCGCCUGGGGAGUACGACCGCAAGGUUGAAACUCAAAGGAAUUGACGGGGACCCGCACAAGCGGUGGAGCAUGUGGUUUAAUUCGAAGCAACGCGAAGAACCUUACCAAAUCUUGACAUCCUUUGAAAACUCUAGAGAUAGAGCCUUCCCCUUCGGGGGACAAAGUGACAGGUGGUGCAUGGUUGUCGUCAGCUCGUGUCGUGAGAUGUUGGGUUAAGUCCCGCAACGAGCGCAACCCUUAAGCUUAGUUGCCAUCAUUAAGUUGGGCACUCUAGGUUGACUGCCGGUGACAAACCGGAGGAAGGUGGGGAUGACGUCAAAUCAUCAUGCCCCUUAUGAUUUGGGCUACACACGUGCUACAAUGGACAAUACAAAGGGCAGCUAAACCGCGAGGUCAUGCAAAUCCCAUAAAGUUGUUCUCAGUUCGGAUUGUAGUCUGCAACUCGACUACAUGAAGCUGGAAUCGCUAGUAAUCGUAGAUCAGCAUGCUACGGUGAAUACGUUCCCGGGUCUUGUACACACCGCCCGUCACAC
rnacentral:rRNA from 1 species